rnacentral:rRNA from 1 species
UGGCGGCACGCCUAACACAUGCAAGUCGAACGGAGAUUACUUAGCUUGCUUUGUAAUCUUAGUGGCGGACGGGUGAGUAACACGUGAGCAACCUGCCUCUGAGAGAGGGAUAGCUUCUGGAAACGGAUGGUAAUACCUCAUAACAUACAUUGACCGCAUGAUCGAUGUAUCAAAGAUUUAUCACUCAGAGAUGGGCUCGCGUCUGAUUAGCUAGUUGGUGAGGUAACGGCCCACCAAGGCGACGAUCAGUAGCCGGACUGAGAGGUUGAACGGCCACAUUGGGACUGAGACACGGCCCAGACUCCUACGGGAGGCAGCAGUGAGGGAUAUUGCACAAUGGAGGAAACUCUUGAUGCAGCGAUGCCGCGUGGAGGAAGAAGGUUUUCGGAUUGUAAACUCCUGUUUCGAGGGACGAUAAUGACGGUACCUCGGGAGGAAGCUCCGGCUAACUACGUGCCAGCAGCGGC